AACUACUCCCUUCGUCCUAUA
rnacentral:miRNA from 1 species